UCAUAAUCAAGUCCACUUAAAAAAAAUAUGAACUCAAAGUCUAGCAAUUGCAGAAUACAACUGGAGAACUCUUUCAAUUAUUUCUGCUUGAGAGGCAGUCCUAUGAUCAAUUUUCUAAAAAUAGGAAUAAGUUCAUUAUAGUAAAUCGAUAAUAGUCUAUCAUUUUACAUGAUAGAAAAGUCUUCUUGUUUAAUUCAAAUAGUUGGGUUUCAUCUGAUC
rnacentral:lncRNA from 1 species